AGGAUGAACGCUGGCGGCGUGCCUAACACAUGCAAGUCGAACGUCCUGUCUCGCAAGAGGCAGGGAGUGGCGGACGGGUGAGUACCACGUGGGUCAUCUACCGUGAGGUGAGGAAUACCGGCGAGAAAUCGCCGACAAGACCGCAUAGGCUCGAUGCAAGUCGAGCAAAGCUCUUUCGAGAGAGGGAGCGCCACACGAGGAGCCUGCGCCCGAUUAGCUAGCUGGUGGAGUAACGGUUCACCAGGGCGACGAUCGGUAGUUGGUCUGAGAGGACGAUCAGCCACACUGGGAUUGAGAACGGCCCAGACUCCUACGGGGGGCAGCAGUGAGGAAUUUUCGUCAAUGGGGGCAACCCUGAACGAGCAACGCCGCGUGCAGGAAGAAGGUUUUCGGAUCGUAAACUGCUUUUCGUCGGGGAAGAGAACGGACGGUACCCGAGGAAUCAGCCCCGGCUAACUACGCGCCAGCAGCCGCGGUAA
rnacentral:rRNA from 1 species